rnacentral:rRNA from 1 species
UACGGGGGGGGCAAGCGUUGUUCGGAAUUACUGGGCGUAAAGGGAUUGUAGGCGGCCAACUAAGUCCGACGUGAAAUCCCAAGGCUUAACCUUGGAACUGCGUCGGAUACUGGAUGGCUUGAAUUCGGGAGAGGGAUGCAGAAUUCCAGGUGUAGCGGUGAAAUGCGUAGAUAUCUGGAGGAAUACCGGUGGCGAAGGCGGCAUCCUGGACCGACAUUGACGCUGAUAAUCGAAAGCUAGGGGAGCAAACGGG